UCAGUAAGGCCCUUUUUCCCUUAAUAGAUAGUUACAUAUGUAGAUAGAUAGACAGAUAAUCUGUCUAGAGCUACAUAUUUAUCUACAUAUCCACAAACAUAAAUACAUAUAAUAAUGAAUUAUUAUCACUAUGUAGAGAUAUCCAACGAUUUCUAUUAGGGAAAUAAAUCUUUUAUUGAAGUUCAGAGAGAAAAGCAAUCUUU
rnacentral:lncRNA from 1 species